rnacentral:tRNA from 1 species
GCGGGAGUGCCGGAGUGGUCAAACGGGCCACCUUGAGGGGGUGGUGGGUUAGUCCCUGCGCAGGUUCGAUCCCUGCCUCCCGCA